UACGUAGGGCGCAAGCGUUGUCCGGAAUUAUUGGGCGUAAAGAGCUCGUAGGCGGUUUGUCGCGUCUGCUGUGAAAACCUAAGGCUCAACCUUGGGCUUGCAGUGGGUACGGGCAGACUAGAGUGCGGUAGGGGUGACUGGAAUUCCUGGUGUAGCGGUGGAAUGCGCAGAUAUCAGGAGGAACACCGGUGGCGAAGGCGGGUCUCUGGGCCAUUACUGACGCUGAGGAGCGAAAGCGUGGGGAGCGAACAGG
rnacentral:rRNA from 1 species